AGAAACGAACAAUGAAUCCAAAAAUAGUCCACCUACAAUACCAGUUUUUUAUGAUUUUCUUCAAAAAGAAACGAACAAUGAAUCCAAAAAUAUUCCAGCUACAACACCAGUUUUUUAUGAUUUUCUACAAAAAGAAACGGACAUUGAAUCCAAAAACACUCCGGCUUCAAUACCAGUUUUUUAUGAUUUUCUUCAAAAAGGUAAAUUAUUUGUGGAUUAUCUAAAAUUUUUAUAUUCUAACCCAACUGUAU